CAGGUUUGAUGUGGGGCUGGUUGAGCCCGCCGACCCCGUCCAUGCCGCUCGGCAAGAGCACGCCAUGCCAAUGCACGGUGGUAUGUUCCGGCAAUUUGUUGGUGACGAAGAUGCGGAGCUUGUCGCCUUCUACUGCUUCAAUAGUGGGACCCGGAGAUUGGCCGUUGUAACCCCAGAGAUGAGCCUUCAUGCCUUCGGCAAACUCG
rnacentral:misc_RNA from 1 species